AGCGAACGCUGGCGGCAGGCCUAACACAUGCAAGUCGAACGAACCCUUCGGGGUUAGUGGCGGACGGGCGAGUAACACGUGGGAACGUGCCUUUAGGUUCGGAAUAACUCAGGGAAACUUGUGCUAAUACCGAAUGUGCCCUUCGGGGGAAAGAUUUAUCGCCUUUAGAGCGGCCCGCGUCUGAUUAGCUAGUUGGUGAGGUAAUGGCUCACCAAGGCUACGAUCAGUAGCUGGUCUGAGAGGAUGACCAGCCACAUUGGGACUGAGACACGGCCCAAACUCCUACGGGAGGCAGCAGUGGGGAACCUUGCGCAAUGGGCGAAAGCCUGACGCAGCCAUGCCGCGUGGAUGAUGAAGGUCUUAGGAUUGUAAAAUCCUUUCACCGGUGAAGAUAAUGACUGUAGCCGGAGAAGAAGCCCCGGCUAACUUCGUGCCAGCCGCCGCCGUAAUAC
rnacentral:rRNA from 1 species